UGGGGAAUAUUGGACAAUGGGCGCAAGCCUGAUCCAGCCAUGCCGCGUGAGUGAUGAAGGCCUUAGGGUUGUAAAGCUCUUUCACUCGGGACGAUAAUGACGGUACCGAGAGAAGAAGCCCCGGCUAACUUCGUGCCAGCAGCCGCGGUAAUACGAAGGGGGCUAGCGUUGUUCGGAUUUACUGGGCGUAAAGCGCGCGUAGGCGGACCGUUAAGUCGGAGGUGAAAUCCUGGGGCUCAACCCCAGAACUGCCUUCGAUACUGGCGGUCUCGAGUUCGGGAGAGGUGAGUGGAACUGCCAGUGUAGAGGUGAAAUUCGUAGAUAUUGGCAAGAACACCAGUGGCGAAGGCGGCUCACUGGCCCGAUACUGACGCUGAGGUGCGAAAGCGUGGGGAGCAAACAGG
rnacentral:rRNA from 2 species